AAACAAACCCACACCAAUCCAAAACAUAUAUAUGUGAAAGUCAAAUCCAAACCAAAUUAGACCAUGACUUCAAUCAUCCACACCAAACCGCACCACUUAUGCGCUAGACCCAUUAAAAUACAUUUCCAACCCACCAUUUCACCGGCACCUCAUGCUAUUGUUUAUAUUUAGCCAUAAACAAAAGCAAAAAAUAAAUAGAUAGAAUAAAAAAUCAUUGUAAACUCUAUUAUUUACAGCCAAACCAGUUCAGCACACUUUAAUAAGGCCCAAACCAAACUGGCCCAACAGCCUUUUUAGCCUGUUUCAAUCCAAACCAAUACAGCCAAAAGUAAAACCAAACAAAAAAACCCGGUUUUAACCCAAACCAUUGUCAGGUUUAGUCCCAAGGGGGGCAAAGGCAAAAGAUACAACAAGCUCAGAUCGAAACUAGUAUUUCCAGC
rnacentral:lncRNA from 1 species